GACGAACGCUGGCGGCGUGCUUAACACAUACAAGUCGAACGGUAAGGCCCUUCGGGGUACACGAGUGGCGAACGGGUGAGUAACACGUGGGUGAUCUGCCCUGCACUUCGGGAUAAGCCUGGGAAACUGGGUCUAAUACCGGAUAGGACCCUGGGAUGCAUGUCCUGGGGUGGAAAGCUUUUGCGGUGUGGGAUGGGCCCGCGGCCUAUCAGCUUGUUGGUGGGGUGAUGGCCUACCAAGGCGACGACGGGUAGCCGGCCUGAGAGGGUGACCGGCCACACUGGGACUGAGAUACGGCCCAGACUCCUACGGGAGGCAGCAGUGGGGAAUAUUGCACAAUGGGCGCAAGCCUGAUGCAGCGACGCCGCGUGAGGGAUGACGGCCUUCGGGUUGUAAACCUCUUUCAGCGCCGACGAAGCGCAAGUGACGGUAGGUGCAGAAGAAGGACCGGCCAACUACGUGCCAGCCGCCGCGGUAA
rnacentral:rRNA from 1 species